rnacentral:hammerhead_ribozyme from 1 species
AUCCAGCUGACGAGUCCCAAGUAGGACGAAACGUGCGUCCUGAAU